rnacentral:piRNA from 1 species
UGGAGUUUUCUUAUUCCUGGAGCAAGCCUC